rnacentral:rRNA from 1 species
UGAGUGCUAAGUGUUGGGAGGUUUCCGCCUCUCAGUGCUGCAGCUAACGCAUUAAGCACUCCGCCUGGGGAGUACGACCGCAAGGUUGAAACUCAAAGGAAUUGACGGGGGCCCGCACAAGCGGUGGAGCAUGUGGUUUAAUUCGAAGCAACGCGAAGAACCUUACCAGGUCUUGACAUCCAGUGCAAACCUAAGAGAUUAGGUGUUCCCUUCGGGGACGCUGAGACAGGUGGUGCAUGGCUGUCGUCAG